GUAGGGUACUAUAUAAAGAUUAUCGGCUCAGAAUCGUCGGACCGAUUCGUGAACAAUUUCGGCCUGAUUUCGUUUCGUUUUUAGUAGCCUGCAUCUUCAUUAGAGCAUUAAUUAGGCAUCUUUUCAUUAAAGAGACACUGUGGAUUAUUACAGGAACAACCACCUGUUGCCAUGUGGCACUAGUAGGCUACCUGCAGUCAAAAAAAGAAUAAAACGCAUCGCCACACCAACAACAAACAAAACUUGAUUGACGCAUCUAUAGACCACUGAGGUGUCUGCUAAUAGAAGUGCAAACCAAUAGAAGUGAAGAGGGGGCGGGUUCUAAUGUGUUUCUCGAAUUAACUUCGUAACGUAAUAUUAUUAGCUUACUAUUUUAGUCGACAGCGAAACACUGUUUGGAGGUAUAUAGCUCAGCGUCCGCUACAAAUAUCAAGGAUUUGUCAAGAAUUUCAGGCUCGGUGGAAAUGCAUUUAUUUUACGCGUCAGUAGUUUUGUGCGUCCUCUGUGCAUGUCACAUGACCACAUCCACCUGUGACGAGCUCCUGUCUUCAGAAGAUGCUGAGUUCUGCAAGGGGAAAUUAAAGGUGAUUUACCCUGAUCUGGUUGUUGACAAAUGCAUGAUCGUCCCUCAGAGGAUCAGAGAGAAGAUCAGUAAGGAGUGGGGUCCACCUCAAAUACAGCUGCCAAGUGCAGAUGAGAUCGGGGCAAAUUACCAUCGCCCCGUCGACCUCCCAGACACUACUGGACUGAGCUGGAGGGAAGCAGUCAUCCAGUGUCUGGAGAAUGUCUACUUCCGAUCCAGAACACGGCCAGACCCAGAACCCAGCCCACCAUCUCCCUACUGCGUGGAGCUCAAACCCGAGCCUACCGCUAACGGAGAACCAGAAACCACCAUAACCUGAUGAGCCAUCACAUAGGAGUGCGACAGAGUUGAGGAUCGCCAUGGAGCCAGAGCCUCACAGAUCGUCAGACCAGGUGUGAGAGCCGGCUACAACGCCCGCCACGAGGGAGAAAACCGUGGAGAGGAGCCCACUGCGCUAUGGCUGAGGUUGAGCUGAAAAGGUAUUUGGGAGAAUGCAAAACGGAGAAAAAAAUUAAUUGACUAGUUUACCAACCUGCCCCCUUUUUCCUUCCUCCUCCAUCGUUGGACUCUGUCCCUCCCAUUCCUGAAUUUAGCCCAGAGAAAGUUCCUGUUCCCAUGUCUACCCCAGGGAAGGCUCCUGUUCCCUCCUGUUCCCAUCCAGCCCUGAGAGGGCUCCUGGUCCCAAGUUAAGCCUGGAGGCUCACAAAUGCCUGCACACCCACCCUCUGCUGCCUUCUCCGCCGCUGUCAUCUGGCAGCCCCUCUGCUCGCCCUCAGCCCACCACCAGUACGGUGUGAGCACCGUGGGACUGCCAUACUCCAUCAUCACAGUGUCUUCAGAAUCCCUGGUCUCCGCCUCCAGCCUCUGAGACCCAGACUCUGCCUCGGCCCGUUGACCCAGCGGCUCCACAAUGGCUCCUAGCUCCAUCCUCUCCGCUGGUUCCACCAGGCUCCCUCGUCCCUCCAGCUCCGCCUUGGUCUGUCAUUGACCAUCCAUCACCUGGGGACUCCACUCCUCUGGCUGCACCUCGUCCCUCCAGCUCUGUCAGGCUCCUCCAUCCCCUCGGCUCCUCUUCACUCCUCUUCGAUGUCGCUCCGGCUCCACCGCGGCCUUCUGGAUCCCUGCCUCCGACUGGGUCGCUGGAGCCAUCUGCUCCACCUUGGCCCUCCGGAUCCUCCCCGUCACUCUGACUCAUCGGCUCUUCGUCUCUUCCGUGGACUCCUCCGCCACCUGCUCUGCCACCGUUGGUCCGCCCCCUGGAGUCGUCAGCCCUUCCUCCUCCAUGGCUCCUCCCUCCCUCUGCUCCACCGUGGGUCACCAUUAUGGCUGUGGCUUGGCCCCUAACUUGGCGCCGCAUGCUCCAAGUCCCUCCUCUAAUCUCCCUGGCUCCUUCCGCCAUCUGAUCCACCCUGGCUCCUCCUGUUUCCUCCUUGGCUCCUCCCUCUAUUGUCACCUCCCUGGACUCUGUCUGCUGGCCCCCUCCCGUGUGUCCGUCCUCCUCCUCCUGAGCAUCCUCCUAGUUCUUACCCGUCCCUCCCUCUGUUGGUUCUAUGGCAUGAGGACGCGCCUUCUGGGAGGGGGGCGAAAUGUCAGGAUUGGACUGUCUUUGUUGUGUUUCUCCCUCAUGUGCCCUUAUUUAGUUGUUCCUGUUCCCAUCCUCGUUGUCUCUUAAUUGGUCAUUGUGUUCACCUGUGUUCCUCCCAAUUGCCUCGUUAAAUCAUGUAUUUAGUUCCAGUCUGUGCUUUCCUCCUUUGUUGGGUCUACCUGUAUACAUGUGUCUUCCUUUUCUUCCAAGUGUGGAUUUACCCUGUGUGUUGGAUUUAAUAAAUGGCAGUUUU
ensembl:lncRNA